CAGAAAACACUCAGCCAAGAGCUGUGGACUCAGGAAACCACGCUUCUUCUUUUCAUCAAUCUCAAAGGAACGUUCUCUUUCUGUAAUUGGUGCCGCCCAGAGAAUUCUCCAGUGUGUAUGGACUGCCUCUGGCCAAGGCUUCCCGGCUGCAUGUGAGGGACGGGAACAGGAGUGCUGUGGCUGUGCCUGGACCCACACUCAUUAAUCAUCCUAAUGAAGUAGAGCCAGUCAUCUUUGUCAAAUCAUUGGUCAAUCAACUAACUGCAAAAUAUCAGAACAAGGUCUUGGAUGGAGUUGAUCAUAUUUUGCCAAAGCAAGGAAAAUGGACUAUGGGUCAGGACUCGAGGUUGGUGGACAAUGAGAACUGCAUAGUUGCUCGCCAUCCUUCAAUUCAGGAUCCACUUAAGCUUCAGGAGAAAGAGGAGAGGAUGCAAGAAGAAUGGAAGAGAAAGAGAAGGACAAGGAAGUGUGGAGAAGUAGCUUUCUUGCCUAUAUGAAUAAGCAAAAUUAAAGAUGCUACAAGAAUUGGAGCCCUGCCUAGCUCCAACCUCAAAUCCUAUCUAAAAUGGUUCCCACCUGCACCCCCAAAUCCUCCACUUUGACUGGAUUACUGAGCCCACUCACCCAUUGCCUGAUCUGGCCAAUAUUGGUUAAAAUCAAGAAUGCUUCAUCCCAAAUAUAAAUUUGUUCAUCCUUUGAAUAAAAUCAUUCUCAUUCAUUAAAUUCAGUCGGUUACGGUAGCCUUCCCAGUGUCUUCAGCUUUCCUUCCCAUGGAUGAUGGUUGCUGGUCUUUAAAAUAACAAUUAAAAGCACUCAGGUCCUGUUAUUUUGGCCCUUAGCAACAGUCAUCCCCUAGUUUCUUUAAGGGUGGGAAAGGCCAGGAAAAGGAGAAGAGAAAGUAGAAACCUGCUGGGCAUUAUUCUAAUCAGCGUUCUCCGUUUGGCAGCCAGCACAGACCAGCUCCUGUUUUGCAGAACAGUUAUCCCCAGGGCACUGGAGAGGAGAAUAGUGAGGCAGAGCAGGUGCUGGGCUUUCCCUGCUCACCAUUCAGGAAGGUUUUCAUUGCUUUGGGCCAGAAAGUCGGUAGGCUACCAGUGGAACUCUGAACUUGUUACAGGGCAUGCUCCAGUAGUAAAGUCAAUGAGCUCGCAGUGCCUCCAGACCAGGCUGAGGGUAGCAAUCUGAGAAAAGGCUCAGGGGGACAAAGUCAUCUUGGUUUGGAGAAUAGAAUGGCUGUUUAGUCAGAGAGCUGGGCUGGGAGAC
rnacentral:lncRNA from 1 species